UUCAAUUGUUCCUAUCCUACUGUAGGUUAGUUCUCCUUCUUUUUUAGAUUCUAUCGAAGAUAAGCAUCUCGAGCUCAUUGGCAGAUAGUGUUGGGGAUGUCUAGUCAGGACACCACCUUCAUAGGAUCAUUUUGAUACUAUGCAUCGAAGUAGAAAGAAAGAAGAAAUAAAAUAGAAACACAAUCAAUUACGUGGAUCAGCCAAAAGGCUCGCCUCCACGGGGCAUACAAGCUUCAUUAUGAAAAAUAAAUUACAACAGGAGAUCACACCCUCAACCCUCCUACACCCAAUCUCUCUCUCACAAAAAGCUCUCCCUCAUAAAAAUUCUCUCUCUAGGA
rnacentral:lncRNA from 1 species